CUAUAAAAUUAGCAUAUGGAAAAUUUAAUAUCAUCAAGUGCUGGAAGUGAAGUAGAUUUUGAGUCAGAUGAUGAUUAUUUGUAUAACAGCAAUCACAACUCGGAGACAGAGGAGGACAAUAUAGAUAUUAUGUGUGUGAAGAUAGCUAUAAAUAUUGUCACAGUAAAGAUGGAAAAACUAAAUGUAAUAUGGAAUGCCCUACACAAAAAAGGACAAGUUCCCAUAAUAUAAUAUUAUGUUUGCCAGGGGUUAAAUCUCAUGCAAAAAAUGCAAAAUCACCAUAGAAAGCCUCAAAUUGUUCAUUUCACCUAAUAUUACAGAUUUAGUUUUAAAAUAUACAAAUCAAAAGAUUGAGUCCAUUGAAAAAGAUGACUCUGUUUAUCAUGCCAAAAUGGAUGAAAAUGAAUUGAAUGCUUUAGUUGGUUUACUAAUGAUAGCCGGAGUUUAUAAAUCCAGUCAUCAAAAUAUAAGAGAUUUAUGGAAUAAGGAAGGAUUUGGUGUUUAUUUAGAUAUACUAUGAAUAUAAAUAGAUUCCAAUUUCUAUUGAAAGUGCUUAGAUUUGAUGAUAUGAAUACAAGAAAUACAAGGAAAGCACUUGAUCAUAUUAGAGAAAUUUUUGAUAUUUUUAAUGAUAAUUGCAAUAAUUCUUAUUCUGCUGGACAAU